GCGGACGUGGUGCACGGUGCACCGCUGCAUUCAAUAACAGUUGAUAUGCUUCUAGAGUGCCAUUUGAGCAGCUAGCCGGGGUUCGACUCCCCGCGUCCGCA